GUUCUGGCUUUUGCACAUGAGAAGAUGGAGGACUGGACAGCUUCUCAUGUUACCAUUGCGAUUACUAUGAAUUCAAGUUACAGUUUACCUCAGAAUGUUGCUUUGAUCACUCUGCAGGAGUUGGAUGAUGGAAG